AGUGAACGCUGGCGGCAGGGCCUAAUACAUGCAAGUCGAACGGCAGCACAGUGGAGCUUGCUCCAUGGGUGGCGAGUGGCGGACGGGUGAGGAAUACAUGGGAAUCUGCCCAGUCGUGGGGGAUAACGUAUGGAAACGUACGCUAAUACCGCAUGCGCCCUUCGGGGAAAGUCGGGACCGCAAGGCCUGACACGAUUGGAUGAGCCCAUGUUCGAUUAGCUAGUUGGCGGGGUAACGGCCCACCAAGGCGACGAUCGAUAGCUGGUCUGAGAGGAUGAUCAGCCACACUGGAACUGAGACACGGUCCAGACUCCUACGGGAGGCAGCAGUAGGGAAUAUUGGACAAUGGGCGCAAGCCUGAUCCAGCCAUGCCGCGUGAGUGAAGAAGGCCCUCGGGUUGUAAAGCUCUUUUGUUGGGGAAGAAAAGCAGUUGGUUAAUACCCGAUUGUUCUGACGGUACCCAAAGAAUAAGCACCGGCUAACUUCGUGCC
rnacentral:rRNA from 1 species